GGUAUUUUGCGGUAUUUACCCAUAAUUACCUAUUAUGUACAUCGUACAUGUGCAUAGUGUUCUUAGGAAUGCAUUGUAAGAUUAAAAAUGAAUGUUCUAUUUAUGAGGAGAAAAUUACACUCUUAUGAAAUGUACGUUAAAAAAGAUAAUAAGUUUGCUCUGUGCCUUUUUUUGUUUUUAUUUAUUUAUUAAUGUCUGUGAGCUUUAUAUUUAUCUACUUGACAUUCUUGAAUAGUUGAUUUUGGUAGGGAAAGGUGUGAUAAUGUCUAUUUUUAGAUAAGUUUUGAUCAUGACUUAAAUUGUUUAAUAUUCAUUUGAUGUUUAAAAAAACAAUUUGAAAUACUAAAGUACAUGUAACUUGCUCCAACUUUUAGUCAAAUGGACUGUUUAUUCAAUCUUGUCCAUGUUAUGAUACAAUGUAUCUAGUAAUUGAUAUAUUUUGUAAACCAAAAAAAAUUCUCUCAUUAAUAUUACCUAGAAAAUAUUAUGUACUAGGCAUUUACAAAAAAUAGUGUAUAGUUCCAAAUAUUUGACUGUCCUAAUUUAUAGUUAGUAGUUAAUGUACUUUGAAUUGCAAGAUACGCACUGAUUUUUAAUUACCUGAAAAAAUCAUGAACCUGAUCUGCAUCAAUGAACAGUUUCUUUCAUUUAUGUGUAUUUGUGCAAUAAAAAAUUCCACCCAAAUG
rnacentral:misc_RNA from 1 species